rnacentral:rRNA from 1 species
CCUACGGGUGGCAGCAGUGAGGAAUAUUGGUCAAUGGCCGGAAGGCUGAACCAGCCAAGUCGCGUGAAGGAUGAAGGUGCCAAGCAUUGUAAACUUCUUUUGUCAAGGGACAAAAUCAGGCUCGAGAGCCUGACCGAGGGUACUUGAAGAAAAAGCAUCGGCUAACUCCGUGCCAGCAGCCGCGGUAAUACGGAGGAUGCGAGCGUUAUCCGGAUUUAUUGGGUUUAAAGGGUGCGUAGUGGGACGGUUAAGUCAGCGGUAAAAGCCCGGGGUUCAACCCCGGCGAGCCGUUGAAACUGGCUGUCUUGAGAUGUCGAGAGGUAGGCGGAAUGCGCAGUGUAGCGGUGAAAUGCUUAGAUAUUGCGAAGAACCCCGAUUGCGAAGGCAGCAUACCGGCGGCGGACUGACGCUGAGGCACGAAAGUGUGGGUAUCGAACAGGAUUAGAUACCCUGGUAGUC